UACGGAGGGUGCAAACGUUGCUCGGAAUCAUUGGGCGUAAAGCGCACGUAGGCGGCCUGUUAAGUCGGGUGUGAAAGCCCUGGGCUCAACCCAGGAAGUGCACUCGAAACUGGCGGGCUUGAAUAUGGAAGAGGGUCGCGGAAUUCCCGGUGUAGAGGUGAAAUUCGUAGAUAUCGGGAGGAACAUCAGUUGCGAAGGCGGCUCUCUGGACCAGCACUGACACUGAGGCACGAAAGCGUGGGGAGCAAACAGG
rnacentral:rRNA from 1 species